rnacentral:rRNA from 1 species
AGACGUUAGCGGCGGACGGGUGAGUAACACGUGGAUAACCUACCUAUAAGACUGGGAUAACUUCGGGAAACCGGAGCUAAUACCGGAUAAUAUAUUGAACCGCAUGGUUCAAUAGUGAAAGACGGUUUUGCUGUCACUUAUAGAUGGAUCCGCGCCGCAUUAGCUAGUUGGUAAGGUAACGGCUUACCAAGGCAACGAUGCGUAGCCGACCUGAGAGGGUGAUCGGCCACACUGGAACUGAGACACGGUCCAGACUCCUACGGGAGGCAGCAGUAGGGAAUCUUCCGCAAUGGGCGAAAGCCUGACGGAGCAACGCCGCGUGAGUGAUGAAGGUCUUCGGAUCGUAAAACUCUGUUAUUAGGGAAGAACAAAUGUGUAAGUAACUAUGCACAUCUUGACGGUACCUAAUCAGAAAGCCACGGCUAACUACGUGCCAGCAGCCGCGGUAAUACGUAGGUGGCAAGCGUUAUCCGGAAUUAUUGGGCGUAAAGCGCGCGUAGGCGGUUUUUUAAGUCUGAUGUGAAAGCCCACGGCUCAACCGUGGAGGGUCAUUGGAAACUGGAAAACUUGAGUGCAGAAGAGGAAAGUGGAAUUCCAUGUGUAGCGGUGAAAUGCGCAGAGAUAUGGAGGAACACCAGUGGCGAAGGCGACUUUCUGGUCUGUAACUGACGCUGAUGUGCGAAAGCGUGGGGAUCAAACAGGAUUAGAUACCCUGGUAGUCCACGCCGUAAACGAUGAGUGCUAAGUGUUAGGGGGUUUCCGCCCCUUAGUGCUGCAGCUAACGCAUUAAGCACUCCGCCUGGG